rnacentral:rRNA from 1 species
GGAGGUGGCAAGCGUUGUUCGGAAUUACUGGGCGUAAAGGGCGCGUAGGCGGCAUGGCAAGUCAGAUGUGAAAGCCCCGGGCUUAACUCGGGAAUUGCCUCUGAUACUGCUUUGCUUGAGUCCUGGAGGGGAUAGUGGAAUUCCCAGUGUAGCGGUGAAAUGCGUAGAUAUUGGGAGGAACACCAGUGGCGAAGGCGGCUACCUGGACAGUGACUGACGCUGAGGCGCGAAAGCUAGGGGAGCAAACGGGAUUAGAUACCCCGGUAGUCCUAGCCGUAAACGAUGGGCACUUGGUGUCGGGGGUAUUGAGUCCCCCGGUGCCGCAGUUAACACGUUAAGUGCCCCGCCUGGGGAGUACGGUCGCAAGACUG